rnacentral:rRNA from 1 species
GACGAACGCUGGCGGCGUGCUUAACACAUGCAAGUCGAACGGAAAGGCCCUGCUUUUGUGGGGUGCUCGAGUGGCGAACGGGUGAGUAACACGUGAGUAACCUACCCUUGACUUUGGGAUAACUUCAGGAAACUGGGGCUAAUACCGGAUAGGAGCUCCUGCUGCAUGGUGGGGGUUGGAAAGUUUCGGCGGUUGGGGAUGGACUCGCGGCUUAUCAGCUUGUUGGUGGGGUAGUGGCUUACCAAGGCUUUGACGGGUAGCCGGCCUGAGAGGGUGACCGGCCACAUUGGGACUGAGAUACGGCCCAGACUCCUACGGGAGGCAGCAGUGGGGAAUAUUGCACAAUGGGCGGAAGCCUGAUGCAGCAACGCCGCGUGCGGGAUGACGGCCUUCGGGUUGUAAACCGCUUUCGCCUGUGACGAAGCGUGAGUGACGGUAAUGGGUAAAGAAGCACCGGCUAACUACGUGCCAGCAGCCGCGGUGAUACGUAGGGUGCGAGCGUUGUCCGGAUUUAUUGGGCGUAAAGGGCUCGUAGGUGGUUGAUCGCGUCGGAAGUGUAAUCUUGGGGCUUAACCCUGAGCGUGCUUUCGAUACGGGUUGACUUGAGGAAGGUAGGGGAGAAUGGAAUUCCUGGUGGAGCGGUGGAAUGCGCAGAUAUCAGGAGGAACACCAGUGGCGAAGGCGGUUCUCUGGGCCUUUCCUGACGCUGAGGAGCGAAAGCGUGGGGAGCGAACAGGCUUAGAUACCCUGGUAGUCCACGCUGUAAACGGUGGGUACUAGGUGUGGGGUCCAUUUCACGGGUUCCGUGCCGUAGCUAACGCUUUAAGUACCCCGCCUGGGGAGUACGGCCGCAAGGCUAAAACUCAAAGGAAUUGACGGGGCCCCGCACAAGCGGCGGAGCAUGCGGAUUAAUUCGAUGCAACGCGUAGAACCUUACCUGGGUUUGACAUGGAUCGGGAGUGCUCAGAGAUGGGUGUGCCUCUUUUGGGGUCGGUUCACAGGUGGUGCAUGGCUGUCGUCAGCUCGUGUCGUGAGAUGUUGGGUUAAGUCCCGCAACGAGCGCAACCCUUGUUCACUGUUGCCAGCACGUUAUGGUGGGGACUCAGUGGAGACCGCCGGGGUCAACUCGGAGGAAGGUGGGGAUGACGUCAAGUCAUCAUGCCCCUUAUGUCCAGGGCUUCACGCAUGCUACAAUGGCUGGUACAGAGAGUGGCGAGCCUGUGAGGGUGAGCGAAUCUCGGAAAGCCGGUCUCAGUUCGGAUUGGGGUCUGCAACUCGACCUCAUGAAGUCGGAGUCGCUAGUAAUCGCAGAUCAGCAACGCUGCGGUGAAUACGUUCCCGGG